UUGGCAGUCGACUAGAGUUUGAUCCUGGCUCAGGAUGAACGCUAGCGGGAGGCCUAACACAUGCAAGCCGAGCGGUAUUGUUUCUUCGGAAACGAGAGAGCGGCGCACGGGUGCGGAACACGUGUGCAACCUGCCUUUAUCUGGGGGAUAGCCUUUCGAAAGGAAGAUUAAUACCCCAUAAUAUUUUGAAUGGCAUCAUUUAAAAUUGAAAACUCCGGUGGAUAGAGAUGGGCACGCGCAAGAUUAGAUAGUUGGUAGGGUAACGGCCUACCAAGUCAGUGAUCUUUAGGGGGCCUGAGAGGGUGAUCCCCCACACUGGUACUGAGACACGGACCAGACUCCUACGGGAGGCAGCAGUGAGGAAUAUUGGACAAUGGGUGAGAGCCUGAUCCAGCCAUCCCGCGUGAAGGACGACGGCCCUAUGGGUUGUAAACUUCUUUUGUACAGGGAUAAACCUUUCCACGUGUGGAAAGCUGAAGGUACUGUACGAAUAAGCACCGGCUAACUCC
rnacentral:rRNA from 1 species